GUUCUUUGUUCUAUAUGUUUAGUGUCUUGAGUAUUAUGUACCAAAUGGGAUUUCUUUCCUCAUCCAAUCUCUUUUGUUUUAUAUAUGUUUUCUCUACCUCCUGUACAAAAGAAUAGAGGCAUCACCUUCUAUUUUUUGGGACCUAGGUAACUCGCUGUUGGAGAACACCACAGUGUCACUGAGACCCAAUGUCCAGGAAGAGGAAUUUCCAAGUGUUUAUAACACAGACAAAUUUGGGCCACCUGUUUAUAUGAUGCCAUGUAGGUUUGUUUGUUUGUUUUAUAAAAUAUAUACAUUUUUAAUGUA